rnacentral:rRNA from 1 species
GAUGAACGCUGGCGGCGUGCCUAAUACAUGCAAGUCGAGCGAACAGACGAGGAGCUUGCUCCUCUGACGUUAGCGGCGGACGGGUGAGUAACACGUGGAUAACCUACCUAUAAGACUGGGAUAACUUCGGGAAACCGGAGCUAAUACCGGAUAAUAUAUUGAACCGCAUGGUUCUAAAGUAAAAGAUGGUUUGCUAUCACUUAUAGAUGGACCCGCGCCGUAUUAGCUAGUUGGUAAGGUGACGGCUUACCAAGGCAACGAUACGUAGCCGACCUGAGAGGGUGAACGGCCACACUGGGACUGAGACACGGCCCAG